rnacentral:rRNA from 1 species
CACGUAGGGGGCAAGCGUUGUCCGGAAUUAUUGGGCGUAAAGAGCGCGUAGGCGGUCCGAUAAGUCGGCUGUGAAAGUCCAGGGCUCAACCCUGGAAAGCCGGCCGAUACUGUCGGACUAGAGUUCGGAAGAGGCGAGUGGAAUUCCCGGUGUAGCGGUGAAAUGCGCAGAUAUCGGGAGGAACACCAAUUGCGAAGGCAGCUCGCUGGGACGACACUGACGCUGAGACGCGAAAGCGUGGGGAGCGAACAGG